AUUCGGUGUUUGCAUCCUCAAA
rnacentral:piRNA from 1 species